GAAGUAGAAGGGAGCCAAAAGAAAUCAGGAGAUGGACAAUCCUGAUUGAACCGUUUGAGGGAUCCAACACCUGAGAUUCUAUUCAAUUUAAAUGGCCCAGAUCGAGCCUUGCAAGAUCCAAUGACCAAGAGGGUGGGUAUUUAAGGAAACAAUUAGGGUUUCUUUCUUCAUUUUGAGAAGAGAAGCCAAAAAUAAGAGAGAGAAUGAGAGGAGCCGAUCAGGUGAAAGAGGAGGAGAGGAGUCGAUUGGGUGAGAGAGGAGGCCGAGAUUGAGGAGGACUCGUGCUGAGAAGGAGAAGGAAACAUGGCCGAAGAAGAGAGGAGGAGGUAUUGCAGAGGGAGAAGAAAAAGGGAAGAGGAAGGAAGGGAAAUUGCGCCCGAGGAGCACCGUGUGAUGGUAGAAUCCGAAGCAGAAUAAGGUGAGUUUCAUCCUUUUCAUUCUUUUCAUCUCUAUUUUUUAAAAAUCCCUUUUCCUAUUUCACAUUAACUGGUAUGUAGGUAUGAAAUCCGUCGUCUAAAAUUUGAAGCAAGAAAGGAGUGUCGUAGGGAACCGAGAAGACCACCCUCGGAGUCGAAUCCAAGGCUAAAUCACACCACACCGAUGCAG
rnacentral:lncRNA from 1 species